GGGGAAUAUUGGACAAUGGGGGAAACCCUGAUCCAGCGACGCCGCGUGAGUGAAGAAGUGUUUCGGCAUGUAAAGCUCUAUCAGCAGGGAAGAAAAUGACGGUACCUGACUAAGAAGCCCCGGCUAACUACGUGCCAGCAGCCGCGGUAAUACGUAGGGGGCAAGCGUUAUCCGGAUUUACUGGGUGUAAAGGGAGCGUAGGUGGUUCGGCAAGUCAGAUGUGAAAGCCCGGGGCCCAACCCCGGGACUGCAUUUGAAACUGUCGGACUAGAGUGCAGGAGAGGUAAGUGGAAUUCCUAGUGUAGCGGUGAAAUGCGUAGAUAUUAGGAGGAACACCAGUGGCGAAGGCGGCUUACUGGACUGUAACUGACACUGAGGCUCGAAAGCGUGGGGAGCAAAC
rnacentral:rRNA from 1 species